CCUUCGAUAGCUCAGCUGGUAGAGCGGAGGACUGUAGUCGNUGUUGCAGCCAUCCUUAGGUCGCUGGUUCGAUUCCGGCUCGAAGGA
rnacentral:tRNA from 1 species